CCUCUGCCUUGUGGGAUCCAAAAACAAAGUUCUGUGAGUUUGCUUCAUUUUUCCUGCUCUGGUCUCUGUAGUUACUGUCGCCAACCCCUUGCCUCCUGGACAGAUCUCCCGUCUCCUGAGAGGUCCCCACCAGAACGUCUUUAUAUGACAACUGCCCUACUGAUUGACUUGGACCUGAGGCAGGUUCUGUUCUGUUCUGAUCUUUUCUCUUAGAUGUCUUCUCAGGCACCUCCUGUGUUACUGAGGGAGCUGGACUAGUAGAUUGUUUUUGACUAGUGUUUGGCUCAUCUGUUGGGUCAGAACCCCUCUGAUCACCAAGGGAUACUUGGGAUUGGUCAACACACUUCUUUGAGUUUGCUUCAUUUGUUAUAUUCUCGUCGGUCUGGUUACUAGAGGUCUUCAGUUCAUUCAGAACUCUAACCUCUGUGUUGCCUUCACCAUCAAGGCUUUUUGAUGGCUCCGUUGACCCGUGUGACGUCCCCUUCAGGUCUUCCUCAUCCAAGAGUUUACUGGCUGGUUGAGUUGGGUCUGAGGCACGUCCUCCUGUGUUCUGAUCAGCUGUCUCGGGUGUGGAUGAGGCCUGUGUGACUGAUGUAGGACUAGGUUGGUUUGGCUCAUUCACUGGUGCGUCUACGUUUGCCUUCGAUGGACCCUUGGCCUGGUCUUCUGGCAGUGUCUGGUGUGGGGAUGGGUUUGGAGAGGCUAUAGGUAUGGUUGGAGGGCCAGUAGGUGUGGCGGUGAUGACAGGAGGGCCAGUAGGUGUGGCAAUGUUGACAGGAGGGCCAGUAGGUGUGGUGGUGUUGACAGGAGGGCCAGUAGGUGUGGUGGUGUUGACAGGAGGGCCAGUAGGUGUGGUGGUGUUGACAGGAGGACCAGUAGGUGUAGUGGUGUUGACAGGAGGGUCAUCCACCACUGAAGUAGAGCUCUCACUGACAGACAACUCAUCUUUCUCUUGACGUGUGUCAGUGCUCAGCUCAAUAGCGCUGGAAGAGCCUCCACUCUAUGAACAAUGUAUACAAAAAUGAGGCCUUUUAACACAUAAAUCAUUAAGGAUCAGCAUUUCUGAUUCAUAAGCCCUGCCCAUUAAAGCGUUCCCAUUCCAUGCUAAUUUCACUGGGUUCCCUUGACUUAAAACCCACGUCUGGUCACAUCCUAACGUCACAAAUUGAAAGUGUGACUGGUUCUGUUUAAACAAAUAUAUAAUUGUAAAUCUCUUAUC
ensembl:lncRNA